rnacentral:rRNA from 1 species
CGUAGGUGGCAAGCGUUGUCCGGAAUUAUUGGGCGUAAAGCGCGCGCAGGCGGGAAUGUAAGUCUGUCUUAAAAGUGCGGUGCUCAACGCCGUGAUGGGACAGAAACUAUAUUUCUUGAGUGCAGGAGAGGACAGUGGAAUUCCCAGUGUAGCGGUGAAAUGCGUAGAUAUUGGGAGGAACACCAGUGGCGAAGGCGACUGUCUGGACUGUGUCUGACGCUGAGGCGCGAAAGCCAGGGUAGUGAACGGGAUUAGAUACCCCGGUAAUCCUGGCCGUAAACGAUGGGUACUAGGUGUUGGGGUAUCGACCCCUCCAGUGCCGGAGUUAACGCAAUAAGUACCCCGCCUGGGGAGUACGGCCGCAAGGUUG